rnacentral:lncRNA from 1 species
UUAACAAAAGUUAGUAGGUUCAGAUCAUCUUCACAUUCUUGAAAGGAAUCAUUAUUGUUGCAUUUUUGACUAAUACUCUUUUGCCAUUUUGGGAAACCUUGUUCAUCCCCUUCAUACACAAACGGAUUACUAUUACUCAAAUAAUUCCCAUUUCGAUACACCAUUGCAUUAUUCUCAAAUCUUGGUGCACCAUUUGAUCCAAAUCUACUAGUAGAAAAUUGCUGUUGCUGCCCAGCUGGAAAUUGACAAAAGUUGGCUGCAUGUGCAGUUAUGUAAAGAGAAGGAUGAUUUAUUAGGCCAAGUGGAUGGUUAGGUGCAAAAACAAGAGGUCCUUGUGGAAGUACUGAAGAGAAGUUAGCAGCGUAAUGAUCAUGAUG